rnacentral:tRNA from 1 species
GGACGGGAGCCGGAUACGGUUGGCCGGGACGCUUUGCUAAAGCGUUCGCCCUCACGGGCGUGUGGGUUCAAAUCCCACCCCCUCCG